AUUGAACGCUGGCGGCAGGCCUAACACAUGCAAGUCGAGCGGAUGACGGGAGCUUGCUCCUGGAUUCAGCGGCGGACGGGUGAGUAAUGCCUAGGAAUCUGCCUGGUAGUGGGGGACAACGUUUCGAAAGGAACGCUAAUACCGCAUACGUCCUACGGGAGAAAGCAGGGGACCUUCGGGCCUUGCGCUAUCAGAUGAGCCUAGGUCGGAUUAGCUAGCUGGUGAGGUAAUGGCUCACCAAGGCGACGAUCCGUAACUGGUCUGAGAGGAUGAUCAGUCACACUGGAACUGAGACACGGUCCAGACUCCUACGGGAGGCAGCAGUGGGGAAUAUUGGACAAUGGGCGAAAGCCUGAUCCAGCCAUGCCGCGUGUGUGAAGAAGGUCUUCGGAUUGUAAAGCACUUUAAGUUGGGAGGAAGGGUUGUAGUUUAAUACUCUGCAAUUUUGACGUUACCGACAGAAUAAGCACCGGCUAACUCUGCGCCAGCAGCCGCAGUAACAC
rnacentral:rRNA from 1 species